UACGUAGGGGGCAAGCGUUGUCCGGAUUUAUUGGGCGUAAAGAGCGUGUAGGCGGCUUCACAGGUCCGCUGUGAAAACUCGAGGCUCAACCUCGAGAUGUCGGUGGAAACCGUGUGGCUAGAGUCCGGAAGAGGAGAGUGGAAUUCCCGGUGUAGCGGUGAAAUGCGCAGAUAUCGGGAAGAACACCCGUGGCGAAGGCGGCUCUCUGGGACGGUACUGAUGCUGAGACGCGAAAGCGUGGGGAGCGAACAGG
rnacentral:rRNA from 1 species